rnacentral:rRNA from 1 species
GACGGAGGAUGCAAGCGUUAUCCGGAAUCAUUGGGCGUAAAGCGUCCGCAGGUGGCAGUUCAAGUCUGCUGUCAAAGACUGGGGCUUAACCCUAGAAAGGCAGUGGAAACUGAACAGCUAGAGUGCGGUAGGGGUAGAGGGAAUUCCCGGUGUAGCGGUGAAAUGCGUAGAGAUCGGGAAGAACACCAGUGGCGAAAGCGCUCUGCUGGACCUGCACUGACACUGAGGGACGAAAGCUAGGGGAGCGAAUGGG